rnacentral:rRNA from 1 species
CCUACUGGCGACAUCAUUGGGGCAUUUGGGACAAUGGGGGGAACCCUGAUCCAGCGACGCCGCGUGAGUUCCUCCUUCUUUCUUUCUUUCCCUCUCUCUCCUCCUUUCCUCCCAUGACGUUACCUGACUAAGAAGCCCCGGCUAACUACGUGCCAGCAGCCGCGGUAAUACGUAGGGGGCAAGCGUUAUCCGUAUUUACUGGGUGUAAAGGGAGCGGAGACGGUGCAGCAAGGCUGAUGUGAAAGGUCGGGGCCCAACCCCGGGACUGCAUUGGAAACUGUUGAACUGGAGUACAGGAGAGGUAAGCGGAAUUCCUAGUGUAGCGGUGAAAUGCGUAGAUAUUAGGAGGAACACCAGUGGCGAAGGCGGCUUACUGGACUGUAAAUGACGUUGAGGCUCGAAAGCGUGGGGAGCAAACAGGAUUAGAGAAAAAAGUAGUC